AAUGUCUAAUGCUGGAGAUCUGAACUCUCACUCAGAACAAUCAUGCUGCUCUUUUUCUCUGUUUUUGGGAUUGUUGCCAGGUUUGGUGAAAGUGUGGACUCUAUCAGACCAAAUGAAACCAGCGUGUUUGUGAGUGAGGGAAGCAGAACCACACUGUCCUGCACAUAUGAUGGAUCCCCUUACAGUCUCCACUGGUAUCAGCAAAAGCCUGGAUCAAGACCAGAGUUUCUGCUGCUGAUUCAUGUGUCCACUAGACGUGUGACUGAAGCUAAAAUAGCUGACCCCAGACAAUCUAUAAUACUUCCUAAAGAUAAAAAUGAAGUGGAUCUGAUCAUCUCCUCUGCUGCAGUAUCAGACUCUGCACUCUAC